UCACUCCUACGGGAGGCAGCAGUGGGGAAUAUUGCACAAUGGGCGCAAGCCUGAUGCAGCCAUGCCGCGUGUAUGAAGAAGGCCUUCGGGUUGUAAAGUACUUUCAGCGGGGAGGAAGGUGUUGAGGUUAAUAACCUCAGCAAUUGACGUUACCCGCAGAAGAAGCACCGGCUAACUCCGUGCCAGCAGCCGCGGUAAUACGGAGGGUGCAAGCGUUAAUCGGAAUUACUGGGCGUAAAGCGCACGCAGGCGGUCUGUCAAGUCGGAUGUGAAAUCCCCGGGCUCAACCUGGGAACUGCAUUCGAAACUGGCAGGCUAGAGUCUUGUAGAGGGGGGUAGAAUUCCAGGUGUAGCGGUGAAAUGCGUAGAGAUCUGGAGGAAUACCGGUGGCGAAGGCGGCCCCCUGGACAAAGACUGACGCUCAGGUGCGAAAGCGUGGGGAGCAAACAGGAUUAGAUACCCUUGUAGUCCCAU
rnacentral:rRNA from 1 species